rnacentral:rRNA from 1 species
CAAAAACAUGGCCUUUAGGAGUAAAUAUAAGGUCAAACCUGCUCGAUGUGGGAAUAAAUGGCCGCAGUAUCUUGACUGUGCUAAGGUAGCAUAAUCAUUUGCCUCUUAAUAGGAGGAUUGUAUGAAGGGUGAGACGAGAGGGGGGCUGUCUCCUGAGUAGUUAGAUGAAACUUAAUGGUGGGUAAAAAUGCCCAUGUGGAAUGGAGGGACGAAAAGACCCUAAGAUCUUAUCUAGGGAGUUAUUUUUAGGUAGCAGCUCUAGUUUUCCAGGGAAGGGUCAUACAUAGAAACCGUUGUAAAAUCAAAGGCAACCUAGCUAAAGUGAGAACCCCAAAAGGGAAAUAGGAAAAGUUACCUUAGGGAUAACAGCAGGAUAUCAAUCAGGGAGACCAAAUCCUUGGAGGAGAUUCUGACCUCGAUGUUGAAUUAAGGUGUAAUCCGGGAGCAAAAAUUCGGACAGUGGGAUUGUUCAUCCUUUAAAAUCUUACGUGAUCUGA